rnacentral:rRNA from 1 species
AUUGAACGCUGGCGGCAGGCCUAACACAUGCAAGUCGAGCGAGCGGCGGACGGGUGAGUAAUGUCUGGGAAACUGCCUGAUGGAGAGGGAUAACUACUGGAAACGGUAGCUAAUACCGCAUACCAUAAGAUGUUCCCAGAUGGGAUUAGCUAGUAGGUGGGGUAACGGCUCACCUCGGCGACGAUCCCUAGCUGGUCUGAGAGGAGGACCAGACACCCUGUAACGGAGACACGGUCCAGACUCCUACGGUAGGCAGCAGUGGGGAAUAUUGCACAAGGGGCGCAAGCCUGAUGCAGCCAUGCCGCGUGUGUGAAGAAGGCCUGCGGGUUGUAAAGUACUUUCAGCGGGGAGGCGUUACCCGCAGAAGAAGCACCGGCGAACUCCGUGCCAGCAGCCGCGGUAAUAC